ensembl:snRNA U6 U6 spliceosomal RNA
GUGCUCACCUUGGCAGCACAUAUACUAACACUGGAACAAUACAGAGAAGAUUAGCAUGGCCCCUGUGCAAUAAUGACAUGCAAAUUUGUGAAGCUUUCCACAAAGAG